rnacentral:lncRNA from 1 species
AAAAUAACAAGAAUGUGUCCCCAGUACACGAAUGCCCCACUCGCACUAUCAUUUUCUAUGUUCAGUGGACCGUGAAAUUGGGGUAAACCCUCUAAUUUGGCAUUAAAAUUGAAAAGAUCAUAUCAUAGGGAACAUGUAUACUAAGUUUGAAGUCGAUUGGACUUCAACUUCAUCAAAAACUACCUUGACCAAAAACUUUAACCUGAAGCGGGACAGACGGACAAACGAACGCACGGACGAACGAACGGACGGACGGAC